AUGGAAUUGAAAUAAGAAAAGAAAGAGAGAAAAAGGGUAAAAAUUUACAGUUUGGGAAAAUGCAAGGGAGAAACUUGGGAUGAUGAUCAUCAUCAUCGACCGCAGCAGCAGUUUGUUUCCAGCCAACAUCACAUUCACAGGUAUAAUAAGGGAGUGUUCCAUUUGAAGAAGGCUUGCAUUUUCCUUUUCCACAUUCCACUUCUUUACAUACAUCAUCUGCA